UUAGCCACGCAUACGGCCAAUGAUUUCUAUGGAUGGACUGGCUCAAUAAUAAUCAGCUAUGAGCCAUAGCCGACAGUCGUGGCGAAUUCGGUGCUCGCGAGUCGAGGCAGAUUCUCUAAGUGUGCGCUCUAGCAGCCUGUCUAUGGAUAUCGGGUGAAGAAGUAGACGAUCGACGCGUUAUAGAUGCGGGAGUAGAUGGACGAGCAACUAGCUGAAAGCCUUCCGCGGCCAGUGGGGAACGCAUUGAGCCUACCCUCGCAAUAGCCCGUUUUAAUGUCAGCGGCAUCGACGCAUCCCGUCUGCUGUUAAUUGUACCGAGGACUGCAAUACCGCUAAUGAAGCAGACCAGUGCAACGGCCAACCUGUACUCGCCUAAUCCUAUAGCUGUCCCACUGGGCUUUCUCUUGGUGAUUAUUCAUACGCGCUCUCGAACAAAUAGAACGAAACAUUCGUUACUCGCAAGCGCUGUUAUAUUUGGCUCGGUUUAUAUGCCUUGCUCCCGCAGCAUAGAAGGCAAUAUAAGCAGGCCGGCGAGAGAGAGAGAGAGAGAGAGAGAGAGAGAAUAGUGCGCGCGCGUGUGUCGACGCUGCAUCGAGGGGGAGCAGCAGUUCACAGUGCCAUCGACCCAUAUGGUUUCCACAUGCCGGCUCGUUCCGUCGGGGCUUCUCUGCCCUGCCCGCCACAUAUGCCCGAGCUCGAGCUCAGUUCGCCCCCAGCUGAUGCCCCAAGCGCACUCGCCGCUCUCUACCUCUCUCUUUCUCUUUCUAUCUCUCUCUCUCUCUUUCUUUCUCUUUCGCUUUCUCGGCCGAAUGUUUUGAUUCAUCACAGAUCAAACAUGGUACCGAAGGCCGACCAGCCAUUGUCGAGGGCGACAAUUGGCUCCCCGUCGCCAUUCAAGUCAGCGCCAGCCAUUACUGCCGCAGUAUCCCGCUCGCCGCUCCCUCGGGAUUAUCAGCAGCAGCCCAGCAGCGCCUGGACUAGCUAUCGCUACUUUGUCGAGAUGAUGCGCUCACAAGGACAUGCGUUCGACCGCCAACUCGUAAUCGAAGCCAUGUUUCGCGGCAGAGAUCUUGUCUACAGCUCCGGUCAGUCAUCGCCCUGUCCAUCCUAAGCAACCUUACUCCUCUGCAAUGACAUUUCAUUACUAAGUGUGGCAUUUACUAGUCAGCGCAAUUUACCUAACUCGACGUUAUUGUAUUGUCCUCGAGCGAGCGCAGUCUGAUUAAUUGUAGUUACUGCAAUUACACAUAUUACCGAAUGUAGCUUUAAGUUCUAUUGCUAAUCACUAAACUUUAUUUAUUUAUUUUUACUUAUGUAAGCCGUCGAUCAUCUUUAUUGUACAUCGCUUAUCGACGAACAAAUUUAUAGAUACAUUUUAAUAAAUUCAUAAAACAGA